rnacentral:rRNA from 1 species
CAAUAGCGUAUAUUAAAGUUGUUGCGGUAAAAAAGCUCGUAGUUGGAUUUCUGUUGCGAAUGGCCGGUCUUCACUGCGUGAAUGUAUCUGGUUCAAUCGUGGCAUCCUCAUGGGAAACGUUGCUGCGCUUCACUGCGUGGUGCGGUGCCCAUGACUUUUACUUUGAGGAAAUUAGAGUGUUCACGGCAGGCAUACGCCCUGAAUAUGUUAGCAUGGAAUAAUAAUAUAGGAUCUUGGUUCUAUUUUGUUGGUUUCUAGAGCUAAGAUAAUGGUUAAUAGGAACAAUUGGGGGCAUUUGUAUUAACAUGUCAGAGGUGGAAUUCUUGGAUUAUGUUACGACAAACUACUGCGAAAGCAUUUGCCAAGGAUGUUUUCAUUGA